CUCCAACAGCAGUGAAGUCCUCAACCCCUUCAUAGAAAGAAACUCUAUGAAAAGCAAGUUGACAUGGAUGUUCAUCUUAAAAGUAGUAGUUGGAGGGAUUCUGGUUGUGGGCAUCACUGGAUACUUCAUAUACAAAUGCAGGAAAGUAUUUAUGUCAAAGAAGAGAAGAUAUGAUGAUGGAUCCUAAAUGCUAAUGUACUACCCAGCAGUCUCCAAAGUAUUUCAACUGAAAGGCUACUUCGACAGUCUGUUUUAAUGCGCUUCAUGCACUGAGGAAGAG